AUUGAACGCUGGCGGCAUGCUUUACACAUGCAAGUCGAACGGUAACAGGGUGCUUGCACCGCUGACGAGUGGCGAACGGGUGAGUAAUGCGUCGGAACGUGCCGAGUAGUGGGGGAUAACGCAGCGAAAGUUGUGCUAAUACCGCAUACGUACUGAGGUAGAAAGUGGGGGACCUUCGGGCCUCACGCUAUUCGAGCGGCCGACGUCUGAUUAGCUAGUAGGUGAGGUAAAGGCUCACCUAGGCGACGAUCAGUAGCGGGUCUGAGAGGAUGAUCCGCCACACUGGGACUGAGACACGGCCCAGACUCCGACGGGAGGCAGCAGUGGGGAAUUUUGGACAAUGGGCGAAAGCCUGAUCCAGCCAUGCCGCGUGUCUGAAGAAGGCCUUCGGGUUGUAAAGGACUUUUGUCGGGGAGGAAAUCCCCAGCGCUAAUACCGCUGGGGGAUGACAGUACCUGAAGAAUAAGCACCGGCUAACUACGUGCCAGCAGCCGCCGCGGUAA
rnacentral:rRNA from 1 species